UCUUCUUACGUCAAUAUUAGUUAAUAUCGAAUAAUCUUGACCGAUAUCCGUCACGAUUAGGACGUCAGUAAAUAUCGAAAUAUCGGAACGUUAUCCCGAUGUAAUAAUGACGUCUGUCCUAAUAUAAACCUACUAGCGGGUGUGUCGGACUCUGUAUCUGCUUAAGUUGUGUAAAGUGGGAAAUAUAUUUUUUCCAGCAACUCGUUCGACUAAUCUGCACUGGCAAUAAAUAUAGGUAUAAAUACAUUAUAUAAUGACGCACAACCUAUCUACCUAUUUCAGUAAAACAAGCAUGAGUAGUCACUCAUACAUAUAACAACCGUUCGUUUGUUCGGACGUUGCGGUCAAUUGAAAACAUUAUUUACAAUAUUGUUGACUGAGUACAUUUUUAUACGGAUAAAAACGAAAGACAUGGAGACGUACAAAUGUAUUAACUUGGUAUUCUUAUUAUUUUGUAUAAUGAGUGUACAGACCGCUCCAAGAAAAUUUAUUGAAAUUGGCCACUCGUAUAGUAUAUUUACCGAUAAAAGCAAUCAUCGCAAUCUGAACCCAAUCCAAUAUGUUCAAAAACCGACAAACCUAAUACCACAAAGUCAUAACCAACAACCACGAAUACAAGAAAACAAAAAACUUACUCAAGCAAUUUCUGCGAACGACAAUGUGCAGCUAUUUAAUAGAUUUCCACAUAUGGAUGAUGUGAGACAAAAUUGGGGAAUAUUAGUAAACGGAUCGACGUUCGAAGAUGAAGACGAAAAACUAUACAAAAGACCAAUCAACAUACCGAUGCCAUCUAUAGACAAUCCUAUGAAACAAUCCAUUGACACAGCGAAUGUGAAAUCAAAAGCAACACCAUUGACAGUAGCACAAACCUCUUCGAAUUCAGAAGUAAGUGAAAAGGCUCAAUUAACCUUAACAUCCGGAUUGAAAAAGCAA